GAACCGUGAAGAAAUUGGCUUUAGUUAAGGUUGGGUCCUUCGCAUUCAUCUAAUUACCAGAUGAUAUAGCUGCAUCUGAGUUC